AUUGAACGCUGGCGGCAUGCCUUACACAUGCAAGUCGAACGGUAACGGGCCUUCGGGUGCCGACGAGUGGCGAACGGGCGAGUAAUGCAUCGGAACGUACCUUUCAGUGGGGGAUAACGUAGCGAAAGUUACGCUAAUACAGCAUAUUCUGUGAGCAGGAAAGCAGGGGAUCGCAAGACCUUGCGCUGAUUGAGCGGCCGAUGUCAGAUUUGCUAGUUGAUGAGGUAAAGGCUCACCAAGGCGACGAUCUGUAGCGGGCCUGAGAGGAUGAUCCGCCACGCUGGAACUGAGACACGGUCCAGACUCCUACGGGAGGCAGCAGUGGGGAAUUUUGGACAAUGGGGGCAACCCUGAUCCAGCCAUGCCGCGUGAGUGAAGAAGGCCUUCGGGUUGUAAAGCUCUUUCGGCCGGGAAGAGAUCGUAUGGGCUAAUACCCUGUGCGGAUGACGGUACCGGCAUAAGAAGCACCGGCUAACUACGUGCCAGCCGCCGCAGUAAGAC
rnacentral:rRNA from 1 species